rnacentral:misc_RNA from 1 species
AGUUCGAUCAUGGCUCAGAUUGAACGCUGGCGGGAUGCUUUACACAUGCAAGUCGAACGGCAGCACGGACUUCGGUCUGGUGGCGAGUGGCGAACGGGUGAGUAAUGUAUCGGAACGUGCCUAGUAGCGGGGACAACUACGCGAAAGCGUAGCCAAUAUCGCAUACGCCCUUCGGGGGUGCUGGGACCUUUCGGGCCUCGCACUAUUAGAGCGGCCGAUAUCGGAUUAGCUAGUUGGUGGGGUAACGGCUCACCACAAGGACGAUCCGUAGCUGGUUUGAGAGGACGACCAGCCACACUGGGACUGAGACACGGCCCAGACUCCUACGGGAGGCAGCAGUGGGGAAUUUUGGAUAAUGGGGGAAACCCCGAUCCAGCCAUCCCGCGUGUGCGAUGAAGGCCUGCCAGGUAAGCACUGGCAGAAAAGAAAACGGCACGGGAUAAUACCCCCGUGCAACUGACGGUACCUGCAGAAUAAGCACCGGUUAACCACGUGCCAGCAGCCGCGGUAAUACGUAGGGUGCAAAGCGUUAAUCGGAAUUACUGGGCGUAAAGCGUGCGCAGGCGGUUCGGAAAGAAAGAUGUGAAAUCCCCAGAGCUUAACUUUGAACCGUAUUUUUAACUACUGAGCUAGAGUGUGUCAGAGGGAGUGUGGAAUUCCGCGUGUAGCAGUGAAAUGCGUAGAUAUGCGGAGGAACACCGAUGGCGAAGGCAGCCUCCUGGGAUAACACUGACGCUCAUGCACGAAAGCGUGGGGAG